GCGGAGGAUACUUAUGAUGACGUGGAUCCCCAAUAUAUUGAUGCGUAUUUCAAGCACGAUGAUCAAAAAUCGGUGGAAGAAUAUGAAUAUCAGGAGUGCCAUGCUCAGGUCAACGAAAAAACUGAUUAUAGCUAUAGUUCCUUGUGGGAUAGGGCACCGCUUACAGAUGUACAGCGACGAAACUCCAAAAGGUUAAUUCCCGAGGUGCUUACUCGCUUGGAUCACGAAUCGGUCAGUACUUAUCUUAGUUGUUUAAAAGAUGGUGAAGAAAGAAGCAAUGGGAUUCGCCUGGUAAUUGUUGGACGGAAAAAUACUGGAAAGACAUGCCUAACCAAACGACUUUUAAAAGAAUCAUUGGAAAAUGUACAGAAAACAAAUGGAAUAGAAAUUCAUACACUGAAGUGCAGAGGCAAAGUGGAGGAACGGGGGUGGAUCUUUCAG